rnacentral:rRNA from 1 species
UACGUAGGGGGCGAGCGUUGUCCGGAUUUAUUGGGCGUAAAGAGCGUGUAGGCGGUUCGGUAAGUCUGUCGUGAAAUCCUGAGGCUCAACCUUGGACGUGCGAUGGAUACUGCCGGGCUAGAGGAUGGUAGAGGCGAGUGGAAUUCCCGGUGUAGCGGUGAAAUGCGCAGAUAUCAGGAGGAACACCAAUAGCGAAGGCAGCUCGCUGGGACGGUAUUGACGCUAAGGCGCGAAAGCGUGGGGAGCAAACAGG